rnacentral:rRNA from 1 species
GUGGGGAAUAUUGGACAAUGGGCGAAAGCCUGAUCCAGCCAUGCCGCGUGUGUGAAGUAGGUCUUCGGAUUGUAAAGCACUUUAAGUUGGGAGGAAGGGCAGUAAGUUAAUACCUUGCUGUUUUGACGUUACCGACAGAAUAAGCACCGGCUAACUUCGUGCCAGCAGCCGCGGUAAUACGAAGGGUGCAAGCGUUAAUCGGAAUUACUGGGCGUAAAGCGCGCGUAGGUGGUUUUGUAAGUUGGAGGUGAAAUCCCCGGGCUCAACCUGGGAACUGCCUCCAAAACUGCAUGACUAGAGUACGGUAGAGGGUAGUGGAAUUUCCUGUGUAGCGGUGAAAUGCGUAGAUAUAGGAAGGAACACCAGUGGCGAAGGCGACUACCUGGACUGAUACUGACACUGAGGUGCGAAAGCGUGGGGAGCAAACAGGAUUAGAUACCCGAGUAGUCC